UUUUUUUCUCAAGAUUCUGUCCAAGUUGCCACACACAAGCAACUCACCAAUGUAACAAUUCAAAACUUUAAUCAACACUAACCAAACAAAAAUAAAAGUGUCUUCUUACUUGGUUCCAAAAGAGUCUUGAUCGAAAACCGUUGAAUGCAUGAAACAGAGAAGAUUUCCUUGAGUUCUUGAAUCCCCAAUGUUGAUUGCUAAAUAACUAAGAGACGAAUCUAAAUAUUUGAUGGAGUUGUGUUUUGAUUGCUAAUGGGAUUGCAUCAAAGUUGAAUUUGAGUUUGAGGUUACUUAGAAUGUUGGGAAGUUAAGAUGAAAAAUUAAUUUGAACACUCUAGAAUCUUCAUGCCUUACCCGUUUAAAACAACCUAAUUCUUAUACGUUGUUGCGCAUGAGUGGUUGCACUGCUGUACAUCUCGGUUCAAAAAUUAAGCAUUAUUGUGCAUGGUAUGUAGUGACUUCUAACCUUGCGAGCGUUGUUUCGCUUCCAUGUUGUGUUGUUGCGCUUAACCCAUGCGCAACUGCGUUGAAUGUUUUAUUUUUAUGGCUCAGGCGUGUUGGUGCUGGUUUUGCCCUCGACAUUCCUGAAGUUCAAAGCCUUGACAUGCUUCCACUCUCAAUCUCCCAAUUUGUUACCUAAAAAAUUAUUUUCGCAUCAAUACAAACUAAAACACAAAAUAACUGAAUAAUUCGAAUGAAUUCUAAUUAACAUCCAACCUACGUAUAUCAAUUGAAAUUAAAAACUAGAUAUAAUUUACUAAAAUGAAUAAGAAAUUAACAUGCAAACUAAAAAUAAUCUUAAACUCUUGGGUUGCCUCCCAGCAAAGCUUAGUUUAUAGUCAUCAGCCUAACUUCUUCAAUUCUGCUAUCCAAUUCCUCUUCGAAAAUUAAGGAACCCUCCAUCCAUCAGUAGCACUUUGAUAUUUGAGGGCAUAUCUUUUGGAAGUGCCCUUGAUUCAAAGUUACCUAGCUUUGAUAGAAUAUUUUACAAGAACUUUAUGUAACUAGGUCUUUGUC
rnacentral:lncRNA from 1 species